UACAGAGGUCUCAAGCGUUGUUCGGAUUCAUUGGGCGUAAAGGGUGCGUAGGCGGCGCGGUAAGUCGGGUGUGAAAUCUCGGGGCUUAACUCCGAAACUGCAUUCGAUACUGCCGUGCUUGAGGACUGGAGAGGAGACUGGAAUUUACGGUGUAGCGGUGAAAUGCGUAGAUAUCGUAAUGAAGACCAGUGGCGAAGGCGGGUCUCUGGACAGUUCCUGACGCUGAGGCACGAAGGUCAGGGGAGCAAACGGG
rnacentral:rRNA from 1 species